UCCAGCGUGGCACAGUGGUUUGAGUGUUGGACUACAACUCGAGACCAGGGUUCGAAUCCCCGCUCCGCCC
rnacentral:tRNA from 1 species